GUCCCGGUGGGAGUGGGGAUCCCGGGGUGAAGGAGGGUCCCGUUGCGCUGCCCCCGCCCGUCCCGGUCCCUUCGAAAGCAGCGCUGUCCCCGUGCACCCGCUGCUCCCCGCUCCCCCGCGUUCCCUCGGUCUCCCGAUCCUCGGAAGAUUCAUAUUCUCACUUCGGAUCGUAUCUCCAAAAUAACUCUGUUUCUAUCUUUUGACAUUUGAGGAGUUUGGGUUUGGGGUAUGUGGGGAGCUCGCUAUUAAAAUACCAAAUGUUAUGUAUUCUGGGGCAAAACUGGAGCAAUCAUUGCAGGGGGAUUUGUUCCCAGUGGAGCUGUGCUGCUGGGCAAGCGGAGCCGCCGUCCUCAGCCCUUCCCGGACCGGGUGGUUUGACGAGAUUAUCCAGCUGAAAUUAACAAAAUCUGGCCUCCAGCGAGCCAGAAUGAGUCACCAGCAAACGCUGCUCCGUGUGUGCGAGCCCUCCGAAAGCCCUCACUGCCUCACUUCAAACUUACAGCGCAACUUUGACAACCACUCCAUCACAACUGGCUGAUGCUGCCGCAAUCGUAAUCCCCUCUGAGCCUCUGCCCGCUGCUGAUCUCUCCCAGAAACCACUAUUAAAUCUUCCCCGGUUUGCAAGGCUAAUUCUGAACAACGGCACGAGGAGAAAAGCCGGCAGCUGGGCCGGCGUCUCGGUGCUAUUUGCACGCUCCGCGGGAAGAUCGUUUUGAUUAUAAUGAGGCUCAUUAAAAAGAACCCAACCAAAUAAAGAAAGCAAGCAAGCCUUCCCAUCAAUCUGCACCCAGCUGAAGCACCGCGGUCCUUCCUGAAGCGGUGGUGGCUGCGCCGUCGUGGCCCUCCUUGCUAUUGAACGUCUCCGUGCUUUCUCAGGUGGCUGUGGGUGCAGCCAGGCGCUGGGGAGAUGUGUUCCUCAAACGAAGCUGCAAAGAUGCUUGGGUAGGACACGGAGAGCUAACGAGGAACCGCAUCAUCCUUCGGAAUCGCCGCCGGAUAAUUGGCCUCGUUUACUAUUUUAAGACUGAACUCCUUCCUCCAGACGGUUGCGAUGGAGGAAUAUUCAGGAGUAGAUGAUGUCCCCAAACAUAUCAUUAAAGCUUUAAAUAAACGUGCAAUGACAUCCCGUG